ensembl:lncRNA
CUCGGCGGCCGCUGCGGCUGCGUGUGGGGUGCUGAGCGCUGAGGCGGUUGCGUGGAGGUGGCCGAGAAGCUCGGGAAGGCAGGGCGGAGCGGAGGGUCCCACGCACCCUAAAAUUGGCGUGUGGAAUCACAGAAUCACGACGGUUGGAAAAGUGCUUUCAUAUCGUCUCGUCCAACCUCUGGCCCUCCACCACCACGCCCACUGAGCGCGUCCCUCAGUGCCGCGUGAACGCGGUUCUUAAACGCCUCCAGGGACGGUGACUGCGCCGCCUCCCUGGGCAGCUGUGCCACCGCCUCACCGCUCUGAGAAGGGUUUUUUUCCUAAUAUCCAACCUAAAAAGGAAUGGAGUGUUAAUUCUUCGUGGCAGAUGCUGGGAUUGAAGGGCCGUGAAGAUGGUGAAGGGCCUGGAGCACCUCUCCUGUGAGAAGCUAAAAACGCUGUGCCUGCUCAGCCCGGGUUACUCGGACUCGGGGAUCUCUGAAGGGAGACCGCACAGAGGACGGAGCCAGGCUCUGUUCAGCGGUGCCCAGCGCCAGGGCCAGAGGCCAUAGGCAUAAAGCGGAGCACAGGAGCUCCCUCUGAGCACUAGGUAGCUCUCUGUGCCGUGCGGGUGACGGAGCGCUGCCACAGGCUGCCCAGAGGCUGGAGAGUCUUCUUGGAGACCUCCAAAAGCACCUGGAGGUGGGCCUGGGCACCGUGCUCUGGAUGUCCCUGCUGGAGCAGGGCCUGUGCCGGAUGGACCUGGAGGCCCUGCCUGCUUCAGACCCGCUGUGAUUCUGUGAAAUCUGCUGGCACCAGAAGGCAGUUUGAUGGUUUCUGUGGGCACGGAUUUUGUUGCCCAUGCCCACUUGUGAGCGCUCGUCUCUUGGACAGAGGCAGCCAGGCAGCCUUAUACUGACAGCAUUUUCCAGUCCCAGGGAAAACCUCCACCCUCCCAAGCUCAGAUCCUGAUCAGACUCAAGAUAGAGCCUGCCAAGCGAUUGCCUCCCUUUGUUUCUGGCAUCAAGACUUUAUGAGGAUCAGCUCUCUGCUUUGUGACCACUGACGUGAAAUAAAAUGCAGUGACCAGAAGACGUCUGAAAUGAAGUCAGAUUUUAUUGUCUAAUGGACUUUCAUCAGUGUGGGAUUAAAACAAGGCUCAUAAAACCAACUGCUAUUUAGUGGUCAUGGAAAGAAAGUAAAUCUGCAAUUAAAUUAUAACGGGGGUAUGUUAAAUAGGGGUGAGUAAAGGCAGUUCAACUUAAUUAAUUAAAGCUGGAAAAUAUUUAAACUAUCAGGAACAGAUUUCUACUGAAACCAUAUGAUGAGCUUUGGCUUGAUUACCCUCAGACAGCUCACUGCUGUAUAACUCUUCAGGCAAAACACCUGCCGAGAGCCAUAUGCUGGUAAAGAGAGAUUGCAGACACAUUUUAAAGUCGAUGAAGACAGUUUGGAUUCAAGCAAAGAUUACAUAACCACCAUAGUGGUGUAGUCCUGCACGAUGCUGUCUGUGCUAUGGUUCAGUGGGGGGUGCUUCUUCAUGGAAAAGUAUUGGUUGUAUUCAGUAUUUGUCUACAUGGGCUACCAGAAGCAAUUACGGCUCAGAAAAACCUUUUCAUGAUAAUGGUGUUCUUGGAUCUUCCUGCACUGAGCAUGUCUUGACAGGGAAGUUAUGGAGUCUUCCUGCAACUCUAUUCUGUGGUACAGGUUCUGUGGCCUCAGCUGCAGCAUAUAGUCUCAUCAUGCACUGCCAAAAGUCCCAACUCUGCACUGCCUACUGUUCCUGCUUAGCCCAGGCACUGAGAGAGCAACCCAAUGAAGCCAGCAGUGCAUCCUCCUGGCAGUGCCCAGCAGCACACAUGGUCAGAAGGCCUGGGCUGAUCUGUUCUCAAGAGCAACACUGCCUGGACAACGUACAGCCAACAGGACUGUGCUGCAGCCUGCACCAUCUGUGCGUGCCUUCAUCCGCGACGUACUUCUUCAGAAAUUCUGCCACACAGGUGGGAUGUUCAGCCUUUGUUUGCUGUGCUCACCACGCCAUCCACAAGACACAAGGGAGGACCUCAGAACCGCAUGCCAGCACUGGAAGAUCCAAGCUCUUGGUGACCCACUGGAUCCAGAAUCUGCCUUUUGCCUACAGUAACAAGCAGAAGGCCAUGAUGGUGGCAGGCAAGCACAACCACCACAUCUACACCUACACUCUAGCUCUGGCUUUUACCCACAACCGUUUGUUAGCUGAUGCAUUUUAAAGAAUCUACAAGAUACUCUAAAACUGUACAGAGGAAGGCACAAUUUAGGCUUUGGGUGGCUUCUGAAGAACAACAGGGGACAGUAUCAUGGCAACAUUAUUCUCUGGAGCUGACUGCAACAGCCUCUGUUGGGCUACAGCUUAUACUAAUAAGGACAGCAAGAGUGUUUUGU